GUCAGGCACAAGUCAAUCUUCAGUCGUUCAAAGAUCUCCUUCAGUAACUGGAUGCAAUUCAUGUACAGAUUUUGUCAGGGUCUACGAUUACGACAGAUUGACAUGAUGGAUGACAGCAUUGCGGCCAGUUCAGCAACUCUCAGUAAAAUGGCUAAAAAACUAAGGGAGGUCUGUGUCACGGCGGUUGAAAGGAUGAGGAGGCGUACAGGCCAGAAGAUUGGUGGAAGAAGAGAGUUUGUUGUGAUUGAUGAGAGCCAUUUUCGGCACAAAAGAAAGUACGGGAGAGGACGAAUGGUUGGUGGAUGGAAGAGAAAGAAGUGGGUUUUUGGGAUGUUAGGUGUCAAGCAUCAUCAAGGACGAACAUCAAGAAAGCCUGUUCUACGUCUUGUGGAGAGAAGAUCUCGAGGACAUCUAGUCCCCUUAAUCGCCCAUCAUGUGAGGCGUGGAUCAUCAAUAAUCAGUGAUGAGUGGCGUGCCUAUCGCAUACUCCCUGCACUAGGGUACAACCAUCA